UACGUAGGUGGCAAGCGUUAUCCGGAUUUAUUGGGCGUAAAGAGAACGCAGGCGGUCUUUUAAGUCUGAUGUGAAAGCCUUCGGCUUAACCGGAGUAGUGCAUUGGAAACUGGGAGACUUGAGUGCAGAAGAGGAGAGUGGAGCUCCAUGUGUAGCGGUGAAAUGCGUAGAUAUAUGGAAGAACACCAGUGGCGAAAGCGGCUCUCUGGUCUGUAACUGACGCUGAGGUUCGAAAGCGUGGGUAGCAAACAGG
rnacentral:rRNA from 1 species